rnacentral:rRNA from 1 species
ACAGAGGGUGCGAGCGUUAAUCGGAAUUACUGGGCGUAAAGCGUGCGUAGACGGUUAUGUAAGUCGGAUGUGAAAGCCCCGGGCUCAACCUGGGAAUUGCAUUCGAGACUGCAUAGCUAGGAUGCGGAAGAGGGAAGUGGAAUUUCCGGUGUAGCGGUGAAAUGCGUAGAUAUGCGGAGGAACACCGAUGGCGAAGGCAAUCCCCUGGGCCUGCACUGACGCUCAUGCACGAAAGCGUGGGGAGCGAACAGGA